GUUCCUAUCAUGGGGAGCUUGGUGUAAGAGUAUGAGACGUUCUUAUCAUAUCGUCGCGCUCCUCUCUAUCUGGCCAAUGCUGAAUGUUCUCAUGCUGCUCACAAUAGGAACAUGGGGCAUUCCUAUAAUACAGAGCUCAAAGUGAGAGCAUGAGACGUUUCUACCUUAUAAAACUCGGAGUGAGAGCAUGAGGCAUUCCUAUAAUACAGAGCUCGGAAG